rnacentral:rRNA from 1 species
AUUGAACGCUGGCGGCAUGCCUUACACAUGCAAGUCGAACGGUAACGCGGGGCAACCUGGCGACGAGUGGCGAACGGGUGAGUAAUGCAUCGGAACGUGCCCAGUAGUGGGGGAUAGCCCGGCGAAAGCCGGAUUAAUACCGCAUACGACCUACGGGUGAAAGCGGGGGACCGUAAGGCCUCGCGCUAUUGGAGCGGUCGAUGUCAGAUUAGGUUGUUGGGGGGGUAAAAGCCUACCAAGCCGACGAUCUGUAGCUGGUCUGAGAGGACGACCAGCCACACUGGGACGGAGACACGGCCGAGACUCCUACGGGAGGAAGCAGUGGGGAACUUUGGACAAUGGGGGCAACCCUGAUCCAGCCAUGCCGUGUGCGGGAAGAAGGCCUUCGGGUUGUAAACCGCUUUUGUCAGGGAAGAAACGCUCUGGGCUAAUACCCCGGGGUAAUGACGGUACCUGAAGAAUAAGCACCGGCUAACUACGUGCCAGCCGCCGCCGUAACAC